GACGAAGGUGGCGACCGUUGUUCGGAAUCACUGGGCAUAAAGAGCUCGUAGGCGGUGAGAAAAGUAGGGUGUGAAAUCCCUCGGCCCAACCGAGGAACUGCGCUCUAAACUGUCUUGCUUGAGGACCGAAGGGGACCACGGAAUUCCUGGUGGAGCGGUGAAAUGUGCAGAUAUCGGGAAGAACACCCGUGGCGAAGGCGGUUCUCUGGGACGGUACUGACGCUGAGACACGAAAGCGUGGGGAGCAAACAGG
rnacentral:rRNA from 1 species